rnacentral:rRNA from 1 species
CAGUCGCCGCGGUAAUACAGAGGGUGCGAGCGUUAAUCGGAUUUACUGGGCGUAAAGCGUGCGUAGGCGGCUUCUUAAGUCGGAUGUGAAAUCCCUGAGCUUAACUUAGGAAUUGCAUUCGAUACUGGGAAGCUAGAGUAUGGGAGAGGAUGGUAGAAUUUCAGGUGUAGCGGUGAAAUGCGUAGAGAUCUGGAGGAAUACCGAUGGCGAAGGCAGCCAUCUGGCCUAAUACUGACGCUGAGGUACGAAAGCAUGGGGAGCAAACAGGAUUAGAGACCCCCGUAGUCCCUGUCUCUUAUAC